CUGCCCACCUCAGCCUCCCAAAGUGCUAGGGAUUGUAGAUGUGAGCCACCAGGCCCAGCAAACAAUUUGUUCAUCAUUAUGGUCUUCACAUUUUGGAAGAGUGCUAGUUAAUUAUUUACUAGAAUGUCCCAUAAUUUGAGCUUAUCCAAUGUUGUCUCAUGAUAGACUAUGCAUUUUAGACCAGAAAAACAAAGAAGUGAUGAUCCCCUCCCACUGUAUCAUAUCAGAAUAUAAAUGAUAUCAAUUGUCUUAUGUAUUUAUUAAUUAUUAAAUAAUUACUAAUACACCUUUUGCAUAUGAUACUUUGUUCUCAUAAUGUGGUCUCAGCUAGGUUCAACCUUUUUGGUGUGAAAUUAUUAAGUAUCUUAUCAUUUAAUCAACUUAAUAAAAUUGCUAUUAUCUUACUUGCAGAUGAAUACAUCGUAACAAAUAUGCCAGUCCUUUGAGUUAUCUUUCUUUUCUCCAUUGUACCUUGUUUGCUGUAUGACAGAAUGAAUAACUUAAUCAAGAGUUCCUGGACUAUAUAUUUAUGACCUGUGAAUAAAUAGUUUAUAAAUUAUUUAUUUAUAAAUAAAUUUUUAUGAAAAGUCAAUGUAUAGAUUUAUAGGUAAUCAGUGGCAGAGUUAUCUUUUCAUCUUGUUGAUUUGUCUAUUUCCUGAAACUAAAUAGUAAGUCUAUGAUUAAAACAAGAAAACAUUUAGUGAUGAAAUUAAAUAAUCAAAAGUUAGGAGGAAUUGAAGGAAUUAUUAAUUCAACUUCUUGAGUAAUUAUGAACUCUCUUUUGCCAAAAUAAUGAAAGCUCUUCACACACUGUUUGACCACUUUGUGGAGGGCACACUAUGUUGCAAGGUAGCUCCUUUCAGGCAACUGUCUCUCUUUUUAUUUUUCCAUUAUUCUUUAUACUAAGCUGACUAUGCCUUUAUAAAUUUGUCCCAAUGAUUCUAUCCACUGAUUUAAAAAAAAAAAAAAAGUAACUCUUCCAAAGGCAGGAAACCUUCAAAAACAUUUCUAAAUGCUCAUUGAGUUUCAUAGAAUUGGUUAUCAGAAUAGGGCCAGGGAUCGAAAAUCCCUGUGGUAUACCUAUUCUGCCCAUUUUGGCAUUAAUUGAUUAAUCAGCCAUGGUUGAACUCAGUUAUUCAUCUCUAAAUUCAUUCAAGUAUUGUUAUUCAGCUAUAUUCCUGUAUUUUCUCUAGGAGGAUAUCUUGAGAAGUCAAUUAGUUAGGAAAACACUAAUAGCUAUAAUGAACAAACUCCCAAGUUUCAAUGAUUAAACAAUAGAACUUCAUUUGCCACUCAACAGUACAAACCAGAAGUUUUUGGUGGGUGCGUAUCUCUCCUCCACAUAGGCAUCCAGGCUCCUUCUGUUUUAUGGUUCUGUCAUUCUUACGGUUUUUGAGUCUUUUGCUUCAGUUAGCUGGAAGGAACAUCUGCUUCUUAAAACCCCUGUCUAGAAAGGAUGCUCAUCAUGUUCACUCACAUUCCAUUGGCAAAACUUGUCAUAUGGCCCAUCUAGACAAAAGAGGCCUAGGGAAUAUAAUCUAAGGUGGGCUGCCAUCUUUCAGAAUUUAGCUCAGCAUUUGGAGAGGAAGUACUUAUGUUAGACAGAUGGCAUGUUGGCUUUGUUAAAUUCUUUCUUAAAUACAGAAAUAAUGUGUCUGGGAAAUUUCUGUGACCUAAUAUUCUAGUACAGAAUCUGCAAACUUCUUCCAUAAACAGCCAGAAAGUAAAGAUUUUAGGCUUUGCAGAUCAUAUAGUCUCUGUUCCAAGGACUGUCAUUGUAAUGACAUAGCUGCCUCGUAAGACAAAUGCAUUAAGUGUGGCUAUGUUCCAGUAAACUUGAUUAUGAAGACUUAAAUUUGAUUUUUAUAUAAUUUUCAUGUGAAGAAAUACUCUUCAGUGUUUUUGGUUUCCUUUCUUAAAAAUAUUAAAAAAAAGUUUUAGUUCUCAGAAAUACAAAAACAGACUGCAUGCCAGAUUUGGCCUGUGUGCUGAUCCCUGAUCUAACAUCACACUUUAAAGGAAAUGAGAUUUGUAUAGCAUCAUUUGAGUUCAGUGAAUACUUGCUAAGUCUUAGUACUCACUGUUUCCCUGCCCCUAUAAAUUUUGGUAAAUCACUUACUAAUUAACAACAUAUUCUGGAUAUCAUAUAAUAUGUAAGUCAAUUCAGCAAUCUGAUUUCAUACUUUAUUCAUGACAGCUAUGAUUUAUUAAGAACUCAUGAGGUACAAAGAUUUUACAGACAUUACCUUAACUCUUAAAAAAUACCUUAUGACAUAGCUAUCAUCAUCCCCAUUUUAUCACUGAUGAUAUUAAAGUUCAAAGCAGCUAAAAAUAUUUUGCUUGUAUUUCACACAGCUAGAAAUGCAAAACCCAGAAUUGAACCAAAAGUUGGAUACGACUCUUUUCACCACACCAACUUUUCCAGGGGGUAGAUGUAUGAACUCAUUAAAAACUGAUAGCUAGUAUUUUAAUCUCUGUCUUCACUUUUGUUUCAGUUCUAUUGCAUCUUUUCGUGUAUAUUUUAUCAUUUUUCAACUUCAAAAUACGAUUUCUUCAAUGGAUCCAACACCAGCCAGUUACGGUGGCUCACGCCUGUAAUCCCAGCACUUUGGGAGGCCAAGGCAAACCACAUGUCAGAGGACCUCAAUCUGAAAAUGACGGUGGAAUGUUCUUCCCUAAAACACAUGAAGUAAAUGAAUGCUUGGUAAAGAUGUUCAUGUAUAAUUACAAAUGGAAAUCAGACCUGUCUUAGGCAACAUAAUAAUCAAGGUAAAAUUCAUCUCUGGGGGCUUCCCAUCUACUUCUGCUAGAGCCACUUCUUCCUUCUGACUCUCCCUUUGUCUUCCUGCCAUCCUGAUUCUUGUCAAGGGGAUAAAAUCUCAGGCAAAGCAAGCUUAAGGUUUUGCCUUUCAAAGGAGAUUGCUUCAAAUUUAGAAAAUGAAAAGAUUUUUCAGGAGGGGACCACUAAACCAUGAAACUAUUGUAGCUUGGGCAUCAACAAUUUAAGUUUUGAAAUAAAACAGUGUUUAAAUUUCAGUUUUGACACUUCCAGGUUUUAUAACCAUGGGCAAAUGACUUCAAUCUCUUGAAUUCUUUGUCUGAAAAGAAAUGGGAAUAACAAUAUCGGCUAUCUCUGUUGAGAAUUGAGAAUACAGGGAAACUAGGUAUGAUGUCUAUUUAACUCAUAACAAAACCUCAAUAGUCAGUAAGGCUGAUAAUUUGCAGAAACAGUAUCUGACUUGUACCCCUUUAAAUAAUAACAUCUGGGACUACAAAAGUCACUUGCUGGUGAGACUGCUCACCAUACUAGUCACAGAUAUUCAUAACUUCAAGGAAUCUUAGAGGUCAGCCACUUCAAGUUACCUAAAAAAAGGUACGUGGUUUAUCAGCCAGAUGAACCAAUUUUCCAUGGCCACAUAGGAGCUGAGAGAUUGAGUCAUGUCUCUAACAUGGGCUUCUUACUGCAGUUCUAAUUCUUUUCACUUGUAGUUCUAAUUCUGUUCACUUCACUGAGAAUUCUUGAGUGUAUAGGGAGCUGAUGAUGACAACUUUCAUUUUGAAGUAAAGUAUUCGUAAUCCUUAAAAUGUGUAUUUUGCUUAAGAUUUAAUGUUAAGACUCAAAUUCUCCAUUUCAUUUACGCAUUUAUUGGUUUGGUGUUCACUGAGCAACAUUUUUGUUAAUUUCAAAAUAUUAUCAUUCAUGAGAAACAAAAUAAGUUUAUGAAAUUACUCCCUUCCUUUUCUAAGCCUAAAUUUCGUUGAAGAGCAGAGAUGAGGUCCAAUGCUAUAGACACAGAUCCAUACACACAUCCUCUAACCCCCUACACACAAUGUAACACACGAAUAUCCCAACUCUAGAAAGCAUGCUGUUGCAAGUUGCUAUUUGAGUUCAGGAAAGAAAGAAAUUCAUAUACGUUUAUGUAGUUAUUGUUUUCAUGUAUUCUGAAGCACAUUUUGAAUUCCAAAUAGAAGAUAUCUGUUGAGUGAAUCCAACCUUUAGAAAAUAGAUUGGGAAACUUUUUCUAAAAAGGGGAAGAUAUAAAUAUUUUAGGCUUUGUAUGAGUCAAGAGACAAAACUAAAAAAAAUCAUCUCGGU